rnacentral:rRNA from 1 species
GACGAACGCUGGCGGCGUGCUUAACACAUGCCAGUCGAACGGAAAGGCCCUGCUUUUGUGGGGUGCUCGAGUGGCGAACGGGUGAGUAACACGUGAGUAACCUGCCCUUGACUUUGGGAUAACUUCAGGAACCUGGGGCUAAUCCCGGAUAGGAGCUCCUGCUGCAUGGUGGGGGUUGGAAAGUUUCGGCGGUUGGGGAUGGACUCGCGGCUUAUCAGCUUGUUGGUGGGGUAGUGGCUUACCAAGGCUUUGACGGGUAGCCGGCCUGAGAGGGUGACCGGCCACAUUGGGACUGAGAUACGGCCCAGACUCCUACGGGAGGCAGCAGUGGGGAAUAUUGCACAAUGGGCGGAAGCCUGAUGCAGCAACGCCGCGUGCGGGAUGACGGCCUUCGGGUUGUAAACCGCUUUCGCCUGUGACGAAGCGUGAGUGACGGUAAUGGGUAAAGAAGCACCGGCUAACUACGUG